AUUGAACGCUGGCGGCAGGCCUAACACAUGCAAGUCGAGCGGUAGAGAGGUGCUUGCAUCUCUUGAGAGCGGCGGACGGGUGAGUAAUGCCUAGGAAUCUGCCUGGUGGUGGGGGAUAACGUUCGGAAACGGACGCUAAUACCGCAUACGUCCUACGGGAGAAAGCGGGGGGAUCUUCGGACCUCGCGCCAUUAGAUGAGCCUAGGUCGGAUUAGCUAGUUGGUGAGGUAAUGGCUCACCAAGGCGACGAUCCGUAACUGGUCUGAGAGGAUGAUCAGUCACACUGGAACUGAGACACGGUCCAGACUCCUACGGGAGGCAGCAGUGGGGAAUAUUGGACAAUGGGCGGAAAGACCUGAUCCAGCCAUGCCGCGUGUGUGAAGAAGGUCUUCGGAUUGUAAAG
rnacentral:rRNA from 1 species